UCCAUAGGUUAAUGAGGCGAACCGGGGGAACUGAAACAUCUAAGUACCCCGAGGAAAAGAAAUCAACCGAGAUUCCCCCAGUAGCGGCGAGCGAACGGGGAGCAGCCCAGAGCCUGAAUCAGUGUGUGUGUUAGUGGAAGCGUCUGGAAAGGCGUGCGAUACAGGGUGACAGCCCCGUACACAAAAAUGCACAUACUGUGAGCUCGAUGAGUAGGGCGGGACACGUGGUAUCCUGUCUGAAUAUGGGGGGACCAUCCUCCAAGGCUAAAUACUCCUGACUGACCGAUAGUGAACCAGUACCGUGAGGGAAAGGCGAAAAGAACCCCGGCGAGGGGAGUGAAAAAGAACCUGAAACCGUGUACGUACAAGCAGUGGGAGCACGCUUAGGCGUGUGACUGCGUACCUUUUGUAUAAUGGGUCAGCGACUUAUAUUCUGUAGCAAGGUUAACCGAAUAGGGGAGCCGAAGGGAAACCGAGUCUUAACUGGGCGUUAAGUUGCAGGGUAUAGACCCGAAACCCGGUGAUCUAGCCAUGGGCAGGUUGAAGGUUGGGUAACACUAACUGGAGGACCGAACCGACUAAUGUUGAAAAAUUAGCGGAUGACUUGUGGCUGGGGGUGAAAGGCCAAUCAAACCGGGAGAUAGCUGGUUCUCCCCGAAAGCUAUUUAGGUAGCGCCUCGUGAAUUCAUCUCCGGGGGUAGAGCACUGUUUCGGCAAGGGGGUCAUCCCGACUUACCAACCCGAUGCAAACUGCGAAUACCGGAGAAUGUUAUCACGGGAGACACACGGCGGGUGCUAACGUCCGUCGUGAAGAGGGAAACAACCCAGACCGCCAGCUAAGGUCCCAAAGUCAUGGUUAAGUGGGAAACGAUGUGGGAAGGCCCAGACAGCCAGGAUGUUGGCUUAGAAGCAGCCAUCAUUUAAAGAAAGCGUAAUAGCUCACUGGUCGAGUCGGCCUGCGCGGAAGAUGUAACGGGGCUAAACCAUGCACCGAAGCUGCGGCAGCGACGCUUAUGCGUUGUUGGGUAGGGGAGCGUUCUGUAAGCCUGUGAAGGUGUGCUGUGAGGUAUGCUGGAGGUAUCAGAAGUGCGAAUGCUGACAUAAGUAACGAUAAAGCGGGUGAAAAGCCCGCUCGCCGGAAGACCAAGGGUUCCUGUCCAACGUUAAUCGGGGCAGGGUGAGUCGACCCCUAAGGCGAGGCCGAAAGGCGUAGUCGAUGGGAAACAGGUUAAUAUUCCUGUACUUGGUGUUACUGCGAAGGGGGGACGGAGAAGGCUAUGUUGGCCGGGCGACGGUUGUCCCGGUUUAAGCGUGUAGGCUGGUUUUCCAGGCAAAUCCGGAAAAUCAAGGCCGAGGCGUGAUGACGAGGCACUACGGUGCUGAAGCAACAAAUGCCCUGCUUCCAGGAAAAGCCUCUAAGCAUCAGGUAACAUCAAAUCGUACCCCAAACCGACACAGGUGGUCAGGUAGAGAAUACCAAGGCGCUUGAGAGAACUCGGGUGAAGGAACUAGGCAAAAUGGUGCCGUAACUUCGGGAGAAGGCACGCUGAUACGUAGGUGAAGCGACUUGCUCGUGGAGCUGAAAUCAGUCGAAGAUACCAGCUGGCUGCAACUGUUUAUUAAAAACACAGCACUGUGCAAACACGAAAGUGGACGUAUACGGUGUGACGCCUGCCCGGUGCCGGAAGGUUAAUUGAUGGGGUUAGCGCAAGCGAAGCUCUUGAUCGAAGCCCCGGUAAACGGCGGCCGUAACUAUAACGGUCCUAAGGUAGCGAAAUUCCUUGUCGGGUAAGUUCCGACCUGCACGAAUGGCGUAAUGAUGGCCAGGCUGUCUCCACCCGAGACUCAGUGAAAUUGAACUCGCUGUGAAGAUGCAGUGUACCCGCGGCAAGACGGAAAGACCCCGUGAACCUUUACUAUAGCUUGACACUGAACAUUGAGCCUUGAUGUGUAGGAUAGGUGGGAGGCUUUGAAGUGUGGACGCCAGUCUGCAUGGAGCCGACCUUGAAAUACCACCCUUUAAUGUUUGAUGUUCUAACGUGGACCCGUGAUCCGGGUUGCGGACAGUGUCUGGUGGGUAGUUUGACUGGGGCGGUCUCCUCCUAAAGAGUAACGGAGGAGCACGAAGGUUGGCUAAUCCUGGUCGGACAUCAGGAGGUUAGUGCAAUGGCAUAAGCCAGCUUGACUGCGAGCGUGACGGCGCGAGCAGGUGCGAAAGCAGGUCAUAGUGAUCCGGUGGUUCUGAAUGGAAGGGCCAUCGCUCAACGGAUAAAAGGUACUCCGGGGAUAACAGGCUGAUACCGCCCAAGAGUUCAUAUCGACGGCGGUGUUUGGCACCUCGAUGUCGGCUCAUCACAUCCUGGGGCUGAAGUAGGUCCCAAGGGUAUGGCUGUUCGCCAUUUAAAGUGGUACGCGAGCUGGGUUUAGAACGUCGUGAGACAGUUCGGUCCCUAUCUGCCGUGGGCGCUGGAGAACUGAGGGGGGCUGCUCCUAGUACGAGAGGACCGGAGUGGACGCAUCACUGGUGUUCGGGUUGUCAUGCCAAUGGCACUGCCCGGUAGCUAAAUGCGGAAGAGAUAAGUGCUGAAAGCAUCUAAGCACGAAACUUGCCCCGAGAUGAGUUCUCCCUGACCCUUUAAGGGUCCUGAAGGAACGUUGAAGACGACGACGUUGAUAGGCCGGGUGUGUAAGCGCAGCGAUGCGUUGAGCUAACCGGUACUAAUGAACCGUGAGGCUUAACCUUACAACGCCGAAG
rnacentral:rRNA from 2 species